UACGUAGGGGGCAAGCGUUGUCCGGAAUCAUUGGGCGUAAAGAGCGUGUAGGCGGCCCGAUAAGUCCGCUGUGAAAGUCCAGGGCUCAACCCUGGAAUGCCAGUGGAAACUGUCGGGCUGGAGUCCGGAAGAGGCGAGUGGAAUUCCUGGUGUAGCGGUGAAAUGCGCAGAUAUCAGGAGGAACACCCGUGGCGAAGGCGGCUCUCUGGUACGUGACUGAUGCUGAGACGCGAAAGCGUGGGGAGCAAACAGG
rnacentral:rRNA from 1 species